UACGAAGGGGGCUAGCGUUGCUCGGAAUUACUGGGCGUAAAGGGUUCGUAGGUGGCUUGUUAAGUCAGACGUGAAAUCCCUCAGCUUAACUGGGGAACUGCGUCUGAGACUGAUGAGCUCGAGUGCAGGAGAGGAACGCGGAAUUCCAGGUGUAGCGGUGAAAUGCGUAGAUAUCUGGAGGAACACCGGUGGCGAAGGCGGCGUUCUGGACUGCAACUGACACUGAGGAACGAAAGCCAGGGGAGCAAACGGG
rnacentral:rRNA from 1 species